CGCCUUUGGAAAAUUUUCUAUCAAAAGGUCCUACCUGCCCGGUGAAUAAAUUUUAACGGCUGCGGUACUCUGACCGUGCAAAGGUAGCAUAAUCAUUAGCCUGUUAAUUCCAGGAUGGAAUCAAUGGUAAGACGAAGGAAAAACUGUCUCUUUUCAUUAAUUUUUAAGUUUUCGUUUUGGUGAAGAGACCAGAAUAAUUAAGUGGGACGAGAAGACCCUAUAGAGUUUAAGUCAUUCUAAAAAAACGGUUUUUUUAGAAUGACUUUGGUUGGGGCAACUGAUAAUCAAAUUAAACAUUAAAAAAUAAAGUAAGAAUUAAAUCUUUCAUCACAAUUGUUCCAAAAUUUUAUUUUGAAGUUAGAAAAAAUUACCUUAGGGAUAACAGCGUAAUUCUUUUUGAGAGUACUUAUUGACAAAAGAGUUUGCGACCUCGAUGUUGGAUCAAGUUUUCCUGAAGGUGCAGCAGCUUUCAAAGGUUGGUUUGUUCAACCAUUAAAAUCUU
rnacentral:rRNA from 1 species